ACUGAACCUAUAACAACAAGAAUGACUUUCAUCAGCGUCUGUUUUUGGACACUCACAUUGUUUGCUCAAGGGUGUUUAGGACAGAUCACAGUUACUCAGAGUCCUUCAAUAACAGCUCAACCAGGACCAGAAGUUCAAAUAAACUGUAAAACCAGCAGUAACGUGUACUUGGAUAUCAACCUCGGCUACCGCUUAAACUGGUACUUACAGAAACCUGGAGAAGCUCCUAAACUUGUUGUUUAUCGAGCCAACAAACUGCAGUCUGGAACUCCAUCUAGAUUCAGUGGCAGUGGAUCUAAUAGUGAUUUCACUCUGACCAUCAGUGGAGUCCAGACUGAAGAUGCAGGACAUUAUUACUGUCAGAGUAUCCAUUACAUCGACAGUAAAGAUGUGUUCGCACAGUGA